rnacentral:rRNA from 1 species
AAACUUUCAACAACGGAUCUCUUGGUUCUCGCAUCGAUGAAGAACGCAGCNAAAUGCGAUAAGUANUGUGAAUUGCAGGAUUUUGUGAAUUCAUCGAAUUUUUGAACGCACAUUGCACCUUCUGGUAUUCCGGAGGGUAUACCUGUUUGAGCGUCAUUU